AUUCAGCUGACGAGCCCCUAAUAGGAUGAAACAUGUGUCUUGGAU
rfam:Schistosoma haematobium scaffold586_20, whole genome shotgun sequence.